UAAACUAGGAUUAGAUACCCUAUUAUUAUAAAUGUAAAUUUUAGAGUACUAAAUUAGUAAUAGUUAUUUUCUUGAAAAUUAAAAAAUUUGGCGGUAUUUUAGUCUUUUCAGAGGAACCUGUCCUGUAAUUGAUAGUCCACGAUUAUAUAUACUUUAAUUUUAAGUUUACAUAUCGUUGUAGGUUGAAUAUUUUAAUAGAAUUUUAAUAUUCAGAAUUUUUUAUUAAAAAAUAAAUCAGAUCAAGGUGUAGUUUAUAUUAAAGAAGAGGUGGGUUACAUUAAAAUUAUUUAAGGAUAAUUUUUUUAAAAGAAAUUUGAAUUUGGAUUUGAUAGUAAUUUUAAUAUAUUUAUUUUAAAUGAUUAAAGCUCUAAAAUAUGUACACAUCGCCCGUCGCUCUUAA
rnacentral:rRNA from 1 species